GAGUGAUAAGAUCCGUAGUCAAGAGGGAAACAGCCCAGACCACCAGCUAAGGUCCCCAAAUAUCCGUUAAGUGGAAAAGGAUGUGGCGUUGCUUAGACAACCAGGAUGUUGGCUUAGAAGCAGCCAUCAUUUAAAGAGUGCGUAAUAGCUCACUGGUCGAGUGACACUGCGCCGAAAAUGUACCGGGGCUAAACGGAUUACCGAAGCUGUGGAUGGACAUCGUAGAUGUCCGUGGUAGGAGAGCGUUCUAAGGGCGUUGAAGUCAGACCGGAAGGACUGGUGGAGCGCUUAGAAGUGAGAAUGCCGGUAUGAGUAACGAAAGACGGGUGAGAAUCCCGUCCACCGAAUGCCUAAGGUUUCCUGAGGAAGGCUCGUCCGCUCAGGGUUAGUCGGGACCUAAGUCGAGGCCGAUAGGCGUAGACGAUGGACAACAGGUUGAUAUUCCUGUACCACCUCCCCGCCGUUUGAGCAAUGGGGGGACGCAGAAGGAUAGGGUGAGCGUGCCGUUGGUUGUGCACGUCCAAGUUGUGAGAUGAGAAACGAGGCAAAUCCCGUUUCUAGAUACAUCAAGCAGUGAUGGCAAGAGGUUUACCUCAGAGUCCCUGAUUUCACACUGCCAAGAAAAGCCUCUAGCGAGGCGGGAGGUGCCCGUACCGCAAACCGACACAGGUAGGCGAGAAGAGAAUUCUAAGGUGAGCGAGUGAACUCUCGUUAAGGAACUCGGCAAAAUGACCCCGUAACUUCGGGAGAAGGGGUGCUCUGGUAGGGUGAAUAGCCCGAGAGAGCCGCAGUGAAUAGGCCCAGGCGACUGUUUAGCAAAAACACAGGUCUCUGCAAAACCGUAAGGUGACGUAUAGGGGCUGACGCCUGCCCGGUGCUGGAAGGUUAAGGGGAGUGCUUAGCGCAAGCGAAGGUGCGAACCGAAGCCCCAGUAAACGGCGGCCGUAACUAUAACGGUCCUAAGGUAGCGAAAUUC
rnacentral:rRNA from 1 species